UGCAAGUCGAACGAUGAAGCCCUGCUUGCGGGGUGGAUUAGUGGCGAACGGGUGAGUAACACGUGAGCAACCUGCCCCUGACUCUGGGAUAACAGCCGGAAACGGUUGCUAAUACCGGAUAUGCAUCAUAGCCGCAUGGUUUGUGGUGGGAAAGAUUUUUCGGUUGGGGAUGGGCUCGCGGCCUAUCAGCUUGUUGGUGAGGUAGUGGCUCACCAAGGCGUCGACGGGUAGCCGGCCUGAGAGGGUGACCGGCCACACUGGGACUGAGACACGGCCCAGACUCCUACGGGAGGCAGCAGUGGGGAAUAUUGCACAAUGGGCGGAAGCCUGAUGCAGCAACGCCGCGUGAGGGAUGACGGCCUUCGGGUUGUAAACCUCUUUUAGCAGGGAAGAAGCGUGAGUGACGGUACCUGCAGAAAAAGCGCCGGCUAACUACGUGCCAGCAGCCGCGGUAAUACGUAGGGCGCAAGCGUUAUCCGGAAUUAUUGGGCGUAAAGAGCUCGUAGGCGGUUUGUCGCGUCUGCUGUGAAAUCUGGAGGCUCAACCUCCAGCCUGCAGUGGGUACGGGCAGACUAGAGUGCGGUAGGGGAGAUUGGAAUUCCUGGUGUAGCGGUGGAAUGCGCAGAUAUCAGGAGGAACACCGAUGGCGAAGGCAGAUCUCUGGGCCGUAACUGACGCUGAGGAGCGAAAGGGUGGGGAGCAAACAGGCUUAGAUACCCUGGUAGUCCACCCCGUAAACGUUGGGAACUAGUUGUGGGGGCCUUUCCACGGUCUCCGUGACGCAGCUAACGCAUUAAGUUCCCCGCCUGGGGAGUACGGCCGCAAGGCUAAAACUCAAAGGAAUUGACGGGGACCCGCACAAGCGGCGGAGCAUGCGGAUUAAUUCGAUGCAACGCGAAGAACCUUACCAAGGCUUGACAUAUACGGGAACGCCGCAGAAAUGUGGUUCUCUUUGGACACUCGUAUAC
rnacentral:rRNA from 1 species